CCUACGGGAGGCAGCAGUGGGGAAUAUUGUGCAAUGGGGGAAACCCUGACGCAGCAACGCCGCGUGAGUGAGGAAGGACUUCGGUCUGUAAAGCUCUGUUAAUGAGGAAAAAUGGUAGUUGGUCUAAUAGGCCGAUUAUUUGAUGGUACUCAUAGAGGAAGCACCGGCUAACUUCGUGCCAGCAGCCGCGGUAAUACGAAGGGUGCAAGCGUUGUUCGGAUUUAUUGGGCGUAAAGCGCGCGUAGGCGGACCUGCAAGUAAGAUGUGAAAUCUCGAGGCUCAACCUCGAAACUGCGUCUUAAACUACAGGUCUAGAAUCUCGGAGGGGGAAGGGGAAUUUCGCAUGUAGGGGUAAAAUCCGUAGAUAUGCGAAGGAACACCAGAAGCGAAGGCGCCUUCCUGGACGAGUAUUGACGCUGAGGCGCGAAAGCGUGGGGAUCAAACAGGAUUAGAUACCCUGGUAGUCCACGCUGUAAACGAUGAACACUAGGUAUUGGAGGAUUUGACCCCUUCAGUGCCGUAGCUAACGCGUUAAGUGUUCCGCCUGGGAAGUACGGUCGCAAGCUAAAACUCAAAGAUAGUAGCGNGNGAGACGCGACGACGACGACGAGGAGGAGGAG
rnacentral:rRNA from 1 species